rnacentral:rRNA from 1 species
UACGUAGGGUGCGAGCGUUGUCCGGAAUUACUGGGCGUAAAGAGCUCGUAGGUGGUUUGUCGCGUUGUUCGUGAAAACCGAAGGCUUAACCUUUGGCGUGCGGGCGAUACGGGCAGACUGGAGUACUGCAGGGGAGACUGGAAUUCCUGGUGUAGCGGUGGGAUGCGCAGAUAUCAGGAGGAACACCGGUGGCGAAGGCGGGUCUCUGGGCAGUAACUGACGCUGAGGAGCGAAAGCGUGGGGAGCGAACAGG